CAGUAGCCGCGGUAAUACGGAGGGAGCUAGCGUUGUUCGGAAUUACUGGGCGUAAAGCGCGCGUAGGCGGUUACUCAAGUCAGAGGUGAAAGCCCGGGGCUCAACCCCGGAACUGCCUUUGAAACUAGGUGACUAGAAUCUUGGAGAGGUCAGUGGAAUUCCGAGUGUAGAGGUGAAAUUUGUAGAUAUUCGGAAGAACACCAGUGGCGAAGGCGACUGACUGGACAAGUAUUGACGCUGAGGUGCGAAAGCGUGGGGAGCAAACAGGAUUAGAUACCCCUGUAGUCCCUGUCUCUUAUAC
rnacentral:rRNA from 1 species